rnacentral:SRP_RNA from 1 species
GUCAGGCGCGGUGGCGCGUGCCUGUAGUCCCAGCUACUCAGGAGGCUGACGCUGGAGGAUGGCUUGAGCCCAGGAGUUCUGGGCUGUCGUGCAUUAUGCUGAUCGGGUGUCCGCACUAAGUUCGGCAUCAGUAUGGUGACCUCCCAGGAGCGGGGGACCACCAAGUUGCCUAAGGAGGGGUGAACCAGCCCAGGUCGGAAACGGAGCAGGUCAAAACUCCUGUGCUGAUCAGUAGUGGGAUCUCGCCUGUGAAUAGCCACUGCACUCCAGCCUGGGAAACAUAGCAAGACCCCGUCUCU